rnacentral:rRNA from 1 species
AUACGGAGGGGGCUAGCGUUGUUCGGAAUUACUGGGCGUAAAGCGCGCGUAGGCGGUUUAUCAAGUUAGGCGUGAAAGGCCUGGGCUCAACCCGGGAAUUGCGCUUAAUACUGGUAGACUUGAGUCCGGGAGAGGGUGGCGGAAUUCCCAGUGUAGAGGUGAAAUUCGUAGAUAUUGGGAAGAACACCAGUGGCGAAGGCGGCCACCUGGCCCGGUACUGACGCUGAGGUGCGAAAGCGUGGGGAGCAAACAGGAUUAGAUACCCCUGUAGUCC